rnacentral:lncRNA from 1 species
GCCUCAGCAGAGGGCAGGCAAGGAGCGGGCCAGGGGGACUGGACAGCCCGAGGCCACCAGGCCAGGACAGAGUCCAGGCUACAGCCGACUGAAGCCAUGGAAUGGCCCCUCCCGGUUUGGCCCCACAGGAGCCCCCACCCAGGAGCCAGGAGCCAGGCCUAGGGAGCCUGGGAUCUGUGUGCCUGUCCAGCUUCACCCGCCUUGCUGACGGAAGGGCACACACAGAGGGACGGAAACUGACGCCUGCGCCUCCGUGGUGCGCCCAGAGCUGUGGCCGUGGCCUCCCUGUGGGGCAAAGCCAGGUUGUCUCAACUCAGCUGUGGGUUUAGCCGAGCAGUUCCUGCCCAGGGUGCAGGUCGGGUGGGCCUUUCAGGGCCUUGGCUGCCAGCUGGAGCAUUCGGGGGCUCCUGCAAAUGCCCCUUUGUGAGAGAACCCGCAGGUGUGGGGAAGCGCCCAGCGGCCCCCGUGGAACUCAGGAUCACGGCAGGAAGGGGGCAACGUGGAUGGACACCUGCACCCUGUGUGGGCGUAUAAAUCACCCUACAGGGCGCUCGUCACCUGGCCAGCCAGGUAGGAUGUGGAGAUCGCCA